rnacentral:rRNA from 1 species
UCGGGAAUAUUGCGCAAUGGGGCGAAAGCCUGACGCAGCCAUGCCGCGUGGUGUGAAGAAGGCCCUAGGGUUGUAAAGCACUUUCAAUUCGGGAGGAAAAAGCUAAUGGUUAAUAACCAUUAGCCCUGACGUUACCUUUAGAAGAAGCACCGGCUAACUUCCGUGCC